UUUGACCCGCGUGUAUGGUGAACACGCGCUUCCUAGCCGUGUGAUGAUCCACGUCAAUUAAUGAAUCACCAUCAGACGGCUCACGCUUUUCCUAUUUUCCAUUUUCCUGAUUUUUAUUUCUUUUAUUUUCUUUAAUUCCAAUUAUUUUCAAAAAUUAAUAUUUCUUUCAUUUUUUAUCCAAAAAAUAUGGAACCAAUUGCAUUAUUUCCCAAAUAAUUUCUAAUUUCUAUUUCUAAUUUUUAAUAUAUUUUAUUUCAUCAUUUGGUAUUUUUUGUGAAUUUUCUCUUUUCUGGUUAUUUUUAAUUCAUUUUAAAUAGUUUUUGAUAUUCAAAAAAUACAAUAAUAUUUUUCUAACCUCUUUGAAUGAUGAUGGAUCUAUGAAAAAUAUUCUCAUCAAUUUUUGAAUUGAUUU
rnacentral:lncRNA from 1 species